rnacentral:rRNA from 1 species
CACGUAGGGGGCAAGCGUUGUCCGGAUUCAUUGGGCGUAAAGAGCUCGUAGGCGGUUUGUCGCGUCUGCUGUGAAAUCCCGAGGCUCAACCUCGGGUCUGCAGUGGGUACGGGCAGACUGGAGUGCGGUAGGGGAGAAUGGAAUUCCUGGUGUAGCGGUGGAAUGCGCAGAUAUCAGGAGGAACACCGAUGGCGAAGGCAGUUCUCUGGGCCGUAACUGACGCUGAGGAGCGAAAGCGUGGGGAGCGAACAGG